rnacentral:rRNA from 1 species
GACAGAGGUGCCAAGCGUUAGGCGGAAUCACUGGGCUUAAAGCGUGUGUAGGCGGAUUGGUAAGUCCCUUGUGAAAUCCCACAGCUUAACUGUGGAACUGCUCGGUAUACUGCUGAUCUUGAGCCACUCAGGGGCUACCGGAACAAAUGGUGGAGCGGUGAAAUGCGUAGAUAUCAUUUGGAACGCCAAUGGUGAAAACAGGUAGCUGGGGGUGUGCUGACGCUGAGACACGAAAGCCAGGGGAGCAAACGGG